AUACCUUUCUCAGCCUUCUAGCUAAGAUCAAGUGUAGUAUCUGUUCUUAUUAGUUUAAUAUCUGAUAUGAGGGCCGUCGGCUAACUAUUUAUUAAAUUAAUUUUUUGAAGGCGAUGGCCCACUACAAUAUGUCUACUUGUGUCUCUCAUGCAUCGCCUUGGUGUUGCACUAUUGCCUUGCCUUGGCGCACCCCUC